rnacentral:lncRNA from 8 species
AGAAGGUGAAAUUAUGCAAUUGUUUAUAAUCUAUCAUAAUAAAUUAUCCAGUCCAUUGAAAGUGUGUGGUUACGCGUCAAUAGGGCAAUUAAUUGUGAUGCUAUGUAUGGCCAUUUAUGCAGACCACUGUAUAUUGGGAAAUGGUCUAUAAUAUUUUUCAGUGUUUGAAGUUAUUGCAUGGUAUUGCAUGUUCCGGGAGACAGGUAGGGAGAGGACAGGGGGAUUCGUUCGUGGAGAGGUGACAUUCCUCCGAACGACGUCUUGACGUUCCCCCUGCGUCGGACGUCAAUGACGUCGAAUUGGGCUGUUUGUUCUGGAUUCAGGGGUGAGGAAGACCUGCGCGCGCUGACAACCGACAGAAGAAGGUCACUACUCCACCCCUCCAUUCUGAGAGACAUGACACUCCCUCUGGACUAGACCAAGCCUGCACCACAACAGACAAACAUUGGGGUUGCAGAGUGAAUACAGCUCUUAGAGAAGAAAAACACAAGGAAAGAGAAGUCAGAGGAAAGAGAAGUCAGAGGAAAGAGAAGUCAGAGGAAAGAGAAGUCAGAGGAAAGAGAAGUCAGAGGAAAGAGAAGUCAGAGGAAAGAGAAGUCAGAGGAAAGAGAAGUCAGAGGAAAGAGAAGUCAGAGGAAAGAGAAGUCAGAGGAAAGAGAAGUCAGAGGAAAGAGAAGUCAGAGGAAAGAGAAGUCAGAGGAAAGAGAAGUCAGA